AUUUUGAUAUGCGGAUACUGAGAGACCUAGUGAUCCAGCCAAGAAAAGGCACAAUCAACUGAAUCAGCUGCUUUGAGAGUUGUCAAGAUUCCUGGCUCAUCUGAGACCCACUAGCAUAACACCAGAUAGAAAGCUGAAGCAGCAUAAAUGAAGAGAUGCCUCCUUUGUAAACCUAAGAUGUCCUCAGGUGGAAAGUGACUGCUAAAACAUUAUUUUGCCACAUGAACAAGAUCCUGAAUCUCCUGGGAUUCCAGCAGAAAGUGGAAGUCAGCCUUACACUUGAGCCCCAGUGCAACCUGCUGGCAUGUGCACAGCACGAGAUGAGCGGUAGACCUCAGGCUUUGUUUCAUCUAGGUAAGGCUGACCUAACAUAUCAAGGGACUCAGUAUGAAAUAUUCUGGGUAUUCUGAAAAAUAUAUAAGCACUCCUUUCCUGGAGGGCUGAAAACCUACCUUCGUCCUUAAUUGUUGUGUUUAUUGGUUGGAUUCUCCUUUGGAGUAUUUGUAGGUGAAAUCAGGGACUCCCUUUUAGAGAAGCAGAGCAAUGGGAAAAACACUGUGCCUAGGGAAGUGCAACAUCUGUAGGGUCCAGGUUUUUCAGUACUAACUGAUAAGACACAUUAUUAUGGAACUUGCUUUCAGUUCUGCAGUUUUUUGACAUUAAUAGAUAUAUUGUUCACUCCAGGAUAAGAGAAUAAAUAUCAUAGGUGGUAAAUUCUAGAAGAUGCUGUCAUUUCUGGUCUGUAACAUUUUAAACUAACUUGAUAUUAGAGAAGUAGUGUUUUACUUUCUGUGUAGAAACCCAGAUUCUUUUUCCAAGAAAAAUAUUUGCUAUGACAUAAAAAUUAGGUUUUCUCAGAUAUUAUGGAUAUAACUGAACUAAUAAGGUGUGUUUUCUGAAUAGUGCAUUAGAUGAAAAAGA